GACGAACGCUGGCGGCGUGCUUAACACAUGCAAGUCGAACGGAAAGGCCCUGCUUGCAGGGUACUCGAGUGUCGAACGGGUGAGUAACACGUGGGUGAUCUGCCCUGCACUUCUUGGUAAGCCUUGGAAACUGGGGCUAAUACCGGAUAUGAGCCAUUCUUCGGGUGGUGGUUGGAAAGUUUUUUCGGUGUAGGAUGAGCUCGCGGCCUAUCAGCUUGUUGGUGGGGUAAUGGCCUACCAAGGCGGCGACUGGUAGCCGGCCGGGGAGGGUGGACGGCCAAAAUGGGAAUGAGAUAAGGGCCAGACCCCCAAGGGAGGCAGGAGGGGGGAAUAUUGCAAAAUGGGGGCGAGCCUGAUGCAGCGAACCCGCGGGGGGGAUGACGGGCUUCGGGUUGGAAACUCCUUUCCCUAUGGAAGAAGCUUUUUGUGACGGUACCUAGAUAAGAAGCACCGGCUAACUACGUG
rnacentral:rRNA from 1 species